CGGUGUGGUAGUUCAGCUGGUUAGAAUGCCUGCCUGUCACGCAGGAGGUCGCGGGUUCGAGUCCCGUCCAUACCGCCCA
rnacentral:tRNA from 1 species